UACGAAGGGGGCGAGCGUUGUCGGAAUUACUGGGCGUAAAGAGCUCGUAGGUGGUUUGUCGCGUUGUCCGUGAAAACUCACAACUCAAUUGUGGGCGUGCGGGCGAUACGGGCAGACUGGAGUACUGCAGGGGAGACUGGAAUUCCUGGUGUAGCGGUGGAAUGCGCAGAGUAUCAGGAGGAACACCGGUGGCGAAGGCGGGUCUCUGGGCAGUAACUGACGCUGAGGAGCGAAAGCGUGGGGAGCGAACGG
rnacentral:rRNA from 1 species